rnacentral:lncRNA from 10 species
AAGGAAUGUUGGCAGAAAAAGCAGCACACCUGUUCCUCCUUUUCCACUUCUUCCCUUCCUGUUCACAUCAACAUCUGAAGCUGCCAUCCUUUGUUAACUCAUUGCCAUGAUCCCUCACUGAAGGCAAUAUGCUGCCAACUCACGGGUGUUGCUAUGGUGACUAUGAUGUCAUAAGGUGAGGCUAUGUGUUCCGGUGAGUGCAAGGAUGAAUUUUUUCUUAAUCUAAGAUAUUAACUUCACAAAUAUAGAAUGCUAGAUAUUAAAGUAGAAAGGAAACUGGGUUUUGCAGAAACCCAACAUUAGUGUCUAUUUUUCUUCUGAGUAAUCAAGUUGGACUCAACAACCUCCAUAUGGUCUUUGCCUGCUCUAAGAUUUUGUAAUUAUGGAAGUUGAUGAAUAAUUACUUCUCUCAGACAGAAGCAGCCUCACUGGCCUAAGGUUGCAAGGGUUACGAUUUAAAUAGGAUUCUCAGUUGAAGAGCAAGAUUGUCUUCCGGAAAAUCUUUAAGAUCUGGGCUCACUUCCACAUAGCAUCCGCGAGGUCUUUCUUCCUCCUAGCCUCAGUUCUACCAUCUGUUAAAUAGAAAUGAAAGCAUCUAGUCUCAGGGAGCUACUGUAAAGACUGCAUGAGAAAACAUGGUCAAAGCACUUAGCACAUAGUGGCUCUACAUUGAUGUUAUUUUCUUUGCUUUAAAUUCAUUCAAGGCUAUGUUACUUCACAGCAUUAACUCACGCAAGUCAUUCUAUUUCUUUUAGGCAUAACUAUUUUAUUGUUGUUUAUAAAAAUGAGGAAAGUUGGAGAAAAUAAAGAUAGAGGAGAUACAAAAGGUGAAAAAAGAGAGUUAUAAUUUUAUUAAAGUCCUCCUGAUUCUAGACUCCACGAUCUAGAAUCUAAAGCAAAUGAUUCGAGGAAAAGAAUAAAUACAUGUGUAUUGUUCCUUUCAUUUAUGCAAACAAAUCCAAUUAUUGCCAAAUAUAACAACUGAUAAAUGGAGUAAAAUACUUGUCUUCUUAGUGAGUACUGAUGAGUAGGAUAAUGCCCAGAAAAGGUGGCUGGGAACUUCAAACCUACUAGAAUUAUUGGUUGGACUGGGGAUGUUGAAAUUGAAGAGAGAGACGUUCCAGGGAGAGGCAUGAUUCUCAUUCUCAACUCUUUGAAGGCAUUUUAUAUCCUAAAGGUAGAAGACUUGCUUCAUUUGGCCACAGAAGUUAGGAAAAGUGCCCCUGGAUGAAAGUUAAAGAUUAUCAACUAUAGGUAGAAAUUCCUUAUGAUCAGACUUCAGCAGUUGAUUACGAAAAAUUCAGAGAGGCUGAAUUCUCCCUUGCUGGAAAUGUUUUUUUCAAGGUUAAGAAACAUGUUGAGGUGAUUUGAGGGACCUAAUGCAUUAGAUGGAAGUGUACAUGGCAGGAAGAAAGCUUAGGAAGCAGUGGACCAGAGACCUUCAAGACCAGUAGUCAAUUAUCUGAUCUUAGAAGGACAUUUUACUAUGAAUACAUUGCAUUUGUCUCAGGAAACAAAUUUGGAAUUGAUACAUAGACCAUACAUGCCUGCAAUGGAAAUUGCUGUAUAAACGCAUGUUUUUUUUUCCUCCAGCUUCAAUUCAACUGCUAAUGUCUUACAUUUUGGGGGCAUCUUUAAGAGAUGAAAUCUCUGGUUGACUAUGAGAGAUGGUUAUUUAUGAAUGAUGUAGGGGAUAGUCAAGGAAGCAGCUGGACAAUGCAAAAGUGAAAUAUAGUUCAUCUUUGAGUAAAAGUAGUUCCAUACAAAUUCAGUAACUAGCCAUGAACAUGUAAGUCUCUAUCUGUGGCUACCUCAAAGUAUUCUGGUGAUACUGGAGGCUAAACAUGGGACAUAAAAUAAAAUCAUUCUAAAAAGAAACAUCACAAAUAUCUUAGUCUAGAGGGAUGGGCCUUAUAAAGGGGGUUGAUAUGGUUUGGUUGUGUCCCCACCCAAAUCUCAUCUUAUAUUGUAGUUCCCAUAAUCCCCAUGUGUUGUGGGAGAAAACUGGUGGGAGGUAACUGAAUCAUGGAGGAAGUUUCCCCCAUAUUGUUCUCAUCGUAGUGAGUAAGUCUCACGAGAUCUGAUGGUUUUAUAAACAGAAGCUCUUCUGCACAAGCUCUCUUGCCUGCCACCAGGUAAGAUGUGCCUUUGCUUUUCUUUUGCCUUCCACCAUGAUUGUGAGACCUCCCCAGCAUUGUGAACAGUGAGUCAAUUAAACCUCUUUCCUUUAUAAACUACCCAGUCUCAGGUAUGUCUUUAUUAGCAGCAUGAGAACAGACUAAUACAGGGGUUCAGGGUAGAGAGUAAUGUUGGCCAAAUGUGGUUGAAUGGGAAUUUUAUGCAUCAUCAGUCAUAGCCUUGCUCAUCUGUGAAAUGCCGUAAUGUGUUUUUAAAUUUUUAUGAAUAGUCAUUACAAAAAUAAGCACACUAUUAAGGUGAUCAUCUCAAACUAUAGGUCAGAAAAAUACUGGUGGGCAAAUAAAAGAUAAGCAUUUCAGGGUAUUAGAAGUUCUGUUGUGAUGAUCCAAUUUUGGGGGUGAUUUUUUCAUUUCAGGCUUCCUCUCUGUCAGGUGCAUGUGUGACUGCAAGGAUCAAAAUUGCAGACUGUCAACAACUCAAUGCUUCAUCACGUAUAUGGGCUUGGGCAAACUUUUCUCUUCUUUGGGCUUUAGUUUCCUCUUCUGGCCAUGGCCAGGUUGCUCACCAUUUAGCAGGGAGCGUAAAACAGAAGCCAGAAGGAAAUAUUCUUUACCCUAAGAUCAAGGAUCACAAUCUUUUACUCCGUGACCAUUGUUGCUGGUUCUCUAUCCUCUAUGAAUCUCCCUAGAUGUAAGACCCCUGCUUCUUUCAUCUCCUUUCACCAAAUCUUGCAAUGUCCUAAGACCAGAUUGUUGAUGCUGGCUAUUUCUUCAUUCAUUUAACAAACAUGUGCCAAUAAUCAUUGAGCUAGGCUGGCCAACUUUUUCUGGAAAGGGCCAGAUAGUAAAUGUUUUAGGUUUUGUAGGCCUAUGGUCUCUGCAUCUACUACUCAGUUCUGCCAUUGCAGGGCAAAAGCAGCCACAGACAAUGCAUAAGCCAGUGGGAAUGACUGUGUUCCAAUAAAACUUUAUUUUCAAAAACAGGCAGAGGGCCAGUUUUGUGCCAUGUGUUAUAGUUGCACCCCUAAGUUAGAUGCUGAGCGUUCUAUGUUGAAUAAAAUCUGGUAUUUGACAACAGAGUUCAAACUGUCUAGCCCAUUCACUUUUGUAUUAUCCAUAGCUGUUUUUUUUUUUUUUUUUUUUUUUUUUU